rnacentral:rRNA from 1 species
GACGAACCGAGCGAACGUUGUUCGGAAUCACUGGGCUUAAAGGGCGCGUAGGCGGGCUGUCAAGUCUGGGGUGAAAUCCCGCGGCUCAACCGUGGAACUGCCUCAGAUACUGACGGCCUCGAGGGAGAUAGGGGCGAGCGGAACUAAUGGUGGAGCGGUGAAAUGCGUUGAUAUCAUUAGGAACUCCGGUGGCGAAGGCGGCUCGCUGGAUCUUUCUGACGCUGAGGCGCGAAAGCUAGGGGAGCAAACGGG